CCCGCUCUUCCGCCCGGGCCGCCCUCGGCGCCGCCUGAGCCGCGGUGCGGGCUGCGCGGGGCGCCGGUUCCGCGUAAGCCUGGGUCGGGCGCUGCGUGCGGGACUCUCGUCGCGCGUGGACAGGGAGCGAGCGUGCGGGGGACGUAGGGCGCCGACCUGAGGCUCCCCGGCGCUCCGGCUUCGCUCAGGGCGCCCGCUCAGGGGCCUCCGGCGCGAGGCCCCCUUUGUGGUCAAGAUGGCGGCGCCCAGGCGGGCCGCGCCGAGGUGAGCUGGAGCCGGGCCCGGAGCGGGGCGAGUCUGCCACGCCCAGGACUUGGACCCCGGGCUGGUCUCCCGUCUGCCGGGGAGCGGCGGGUUGAUGGGCGCUACGGGAUAAGGAAAAGGAUGUGAAGCUCACUGAAGAGGCUUGGGUUGGGAGUGCUGGAGGAGUGUACAGAGACUCGGCACCUUUCUGUACAGAAAUGGAGACAGGAAGAGGCCAGAGGAUGAAUGACAGGCACGAAUGAGGUGGAACUUGAAGAGCAACAUGGAAAUGAAAUACUUCUUUUGUAUUUGGUAGGUG